rnacentral:tRNA from 1 species
UCCCUGGAAGACUAGUGGUCAGGCCACAGCGCUCUCAAUGCUGUGGCCUGGGGUCGAUUCCCGGCCAGGGAA